AAGUGGUAUGUAGAAAGUAGAAAUCUGAAGCCUCUGAAAAUCCUAGAGAGAAAAGAAAUGCCAAAAAAUCAAGCAGCCAAGAAAACACAGUACAGAUCUGUGUAAUUAAACAGAGAGAUGUGUUAGAAAUUGUUGAUCCAAUUUGCACCUAAGCACUGGCUUCUAUUGAAGUCAGACCUGUCCGGGUGUCUGGUUAUUUCUACCUCUGUAAAUCUAGGACCAAUUACUUUGGAUCACAUUUAUUUCCACUGUAAAGGUUUAUGUGCUUUUAGUGACUUAGAAUUUACAAGAAAAGACAGAAGGAUGCUUUGCUUGCAUUGUUGCAAUAGCUAAAGUUGAGUUGGCUGUUUGAAAUAUCAUUUUCCUGCGUUACCUUCCAAUUCUUUAUGAACAAAAUGUUUUGGUAUUUUUCUUAACCACGCCUGCAAUCCCUUACAGUGAAGUCUGUGAUUUGCAUGUGAUUUCCAUGUGAUUUGCAUGUAGGCCCAGAGAUUGCCGAAGGAUGCUGCUGCUAACAGGUAAGGAGGACACACAAAGCAGCAGUGACAUGCCUGGGAGCUCUGGAGUACACAGCCUUGAACCUGCAUCUCUGGCAAGAAAAUGCAAUGGAAAUCACAAAAUUUCUUGGGCACCAAGAUGCUUCUACACACCUCUUCAUGGUCCUGGGACAAUGGUAAGCAGUGGCACACUGUGCCUCCUACCUUUCAUUCUGUUAUGCCAGACAACGCAUUUAAAAUAUCUGUAAUGUUAAAUCUCUGGGCUUUUGGGACUUAAACAUAUGUUUUUCUUGUCACCCUGGUGCUAUUCAGAAAAAGGAUUGCAGAAAAGUGGGAAAAAAGGUUUUUAAAUCUGAAGAAAUUGACAGAAAUUUUUGAUUUGCAAGGGCUUCAUCUCAGGACAACAGAGCUAAAGUCAGUUCUUCAGUUCUGGAGAGAUCAGAGCCAAGGAAGCAGAGUUAGUUGAAUAUUUCAAAGGAUUUUCCCAUCUCUGUGACUUUGUAAGUCAAUUUUCUCCUCUUUCUUGAUCUUAGAGUGAUCACAUACCUAGAGAAUAGACAGCCUUGGGCUGGUCUGAGGCAAGAGUUCUCUGAAUUGCUUCUGUGCUCUCAUGCACGCUUCUGAUUCUGAGAAACGUCACGAUAGGCUUAAAGAAACUGUAACGGGAUACCAAAGCUUCCAGGGAAAAUGUAGGUAUUUUCCAGGUGUGUUGGAUCUACCUCAUGGAAUUUGAGCCAAAACCAGUGUAAUUUUACACUCCAGGACUUGUCUGAACCUGCAUUCCCCUUGACUGCAGGCCAGCCUAUUUCCCUGCUCUAAGGAAAGGAAGGGGAGUUGCUUGAAAAGGGGGUUUAAAGCAUGAUGGGUAUCUUGCAAACACAAAACAAGACACAAUGACUAAAAAAUUGGUCAUGCACCAUUCUGUUUUAAACUGUAUUUUUCCAUUUGCAAGGAAGGAGGGACAGACAGAUAAAAGGUGAAAACAUUAUGUGUUUUUUAUUUCAUGUCUUCUUCCUAUGCACUGCAUUGGUUUUAACUCAUGAGGUAUUAAAAAGGAAGGUUGUGCAAAUAUUUUCAAAGAAAUCAAAGAACAUUCAAAAUACUCAGAAACAAAACCAGUUAUUCUGCAUAUAUGCGAGCUGAUGUAUGGCCUAACUCCUGAUCUUGCAGUCUAAUGCUCUCCUGUGUUGGAAAAUGAAAUCUCUGAAAACAAAUUUCUCAGCAGUAGCCAAAGAAGUGGAUGAUUUGUCCACAUUUUCUACCGAAAACCUUGUCCCUAACACAAUAGCACCCAUAUAGCUCAGACAGAAGGAGAUCACUCCAAGGGAUUAAGCACUAUCCCAGAAAUGCAUCCUCUUCACUUUAUCCAAAAACUACAGUCCCCAUGACAGACUCAGAGGUGGUAACAGGCAAGAAGGGUGAGGCGAUAGAUAUCCAAUGAAAACAUGAUAUGACAAGAGGUGAUAGAUCUCCAAUGAAAACAUGGCGCUAUAAUAGGGCAUGGUCAGGGACACAAAUAUUUGGACAGAAUGUUAGAAUAUCUAUGCAGGUCAUAAAGGAUUUUACAUGGGGAGAAAAGUUUUGAGAACUUUUUUUCAACAUGAGCUGCUGCUUCUGAAACAUUCCCCUUGUAAGUGCCACCACAGGCAACUGCCCAGACGCUUGGAAACACUGGACUUGCAUGCGCAGUAAGACCAUGUGAAAAAGAUGAGACAAGUACUGAACAUAGGUCAUGAAAAAUACAGAGACUCUCAAUAAUAUAUGAUGAACAAGAUAAGUGACCUACUGGUUAUUCUUGGUUGUAAUCUUCUGUUCAUUUUGUCUCUGUUCAGGGUUAUAAAGCUAUCAAUGUUCUUGCUUCUAUUUGUCACAGUCCUCUCAGACAGACGAGAGAGGCCACCUGGGAGAAUUUCAUGCAGCUUCCAAUGAGAAAGAUGUGUUCCUGCCAGCACCUGAGUGCACAGUAUGAAUGUCUGAGCCCUCAAUGAGACCUUGGAGUUGAAAAUCACCUUCACAGGUAACUGAUGAUCCAGCCAAGGGAAAGACAAAAUUUGAGUCUCUCUCCCCUACUCUGCUUUCAGUGUCUCCUGUCUCCAGGUUUUGACUCCCAGUUCUCAGGCACAACCCCAGCACUAUGAGGGUUUGACUGACAGACUUUUACCCCUGGCUGGAAGGCAUUACCUCUCUUACAGAGCUGACAGCACACAAGUGCCCAGUCCUUCAGAUUAACUCCAUCCUCUCUGCCCUGUGACAAUUUAACCUGUGACAUCAAGCUGGCUCUGAAGCUACUGAGAUGCAGAAGUGUGUGCCAUGCUGCUGAUGUGCAGAUGGCAGCAGAAGCACAGCUGGAGAAGAAACACAUGUGGACAGCCCUGGGCUGGAACACCUUCAGCUUCUACAGCCUGUAGGCCUGAGCCUGGUAGUACUCCUGUUCAAUAUAUAACUGGGAUAUGGGAGCACCAAGGAGAAUCCAGCCUCUGACUCCUUAAAAACUGCACAGCUUUCUGUCUUUGUAUGAAUCUGAACCUUGGAGAAGUGAAUCUGAGAGCAUAAACCAAAGAGUGGCUUCUCUCUACCUUAAGCUACAGAUUGGCUGCAGAGUUGCUUUACAAGUAUUGCCCAAUCUUUAAGUGCAGACUGAAACUUACUGGGAACUUUUCCUGCAUUUCUUGCAGGCAUCUCUGUGUAUGUUGGCAGGAAAUGCAAAGGAUCUGCCAAGUAAAGAAUUCCCUAGCCCAAUUCUCCCUCUAGCCCCAUCCCAACUCUUGCAGGGUAACAGUCCUUGCAGGAAGCAAUUUUGUAAAAGCCUUUUAACAAUGUGGAGAGAUAGGCCAUUUCACAUAGCUCCUGGCAUCCCAAUCCAGUGCAAUGGGAUCCCUCAGGCCCUCCUCUAUGAGUGCAGACAUGGAAAUGUGGGCUAAGUCUCUUUUUGAUUACUUGUUUUUAUUGCAGUAUUUUUUAGGGGAAAUGUAAACAUUAUGGACUCCAUCCCAAACUAAGUCAUGCUCCAAGCAGCCUUGCAGCACUGGUGAUAAUCUGAUUCCAUACACUUCCCCAUGAUCAGAAAGAAGCCUUUAUCAGGCAAAAGAAUACCUCUUUCCCUGUGGGACAGGGGACAUGGGACAUGCCAUUUUUUCAGGGAAAAGAAAUAAGGGGAUACAGCUCCUGGUUCCAGUCAGAUGCUACAAGAACUGAGAAUAUAUCUUGUUCCAUGCAGCAGCUUUGUGAGCAAAUCAGUGAGUAAGAUUUGUUUGCAGUUAUAUAGAAAAAUUGUGAGCAAUAGUCUUGACUGGAGAAGAAAGACCUGCAUUUGCAAGGUAAUUUAUUUGGAAUAAAUCACACCAGUGACUCCAACUUCCUUCAGUGCAGCUGUUUACAUGAGGUGCCACCAAAACAAAAAACAGGAAGGAAGGACAACCUGAAAGGAGCAAAGUGAACCAUUUUCUUUUUCAGUGGCUGCUGUUGCUGGGUUGGCUGCAUAAGUGACUGUUUAGCUGUGCAGUCCGUUAGAAUGAAAUUCCUCUCAGAUCCAAGAAUUUUUGCACAUUUUGGGUUCAUAUUUACAUUUGUUAAGGUUAAUAGACCUGACAAUUUCUUCAUGUUCUCACCAGGGAGCAGUCACUGACAAACCGUGGGAGAGACUGAAACAAUAUUCUCCACAGAAAGGAAAAUCUGUGCCUCACAAGGCUGUUACACAUUCCUCCCUAGUUACAGUCCUCAGUCCUCAGUGGUGAAAAUAAAUGUAGUGCCCCUGAAUUUACCUCAGCAAUGCCAGUUUACACCACUUGUAGAUCUGACAGCUUAUCCUUGUUACUUAUCUUCCUCAUUGUCCCAUGGCAUUUCCUAAACCCACUUUUUUUCUUUUCUUGUAGAGUUUUUGGCUAGCUGUUCUGUGUUUGUGCUACGAAGCCCUAAAUUCAAGUGUUCUACCUUGCCUUUUAGAUGUCAUCUGCAAAAAGACAUUUUUUAAAAGCACAGGUAAAAAGUAGACAUCAGGCAAGAGGUGCCUUUGGCCACUUGUAAUAUUGCAUGCCUUUAGAAAGAAAAUAGUACAGGAAGCCAGGAAAUUCCUUCAGGAGAGAACUGAAUUGAAUUUUUAAGGUUAGUACAUAAUCUGGGGAAAUCUGAAUAUGCAUUUUUCAUACUGGCAUCAGGGCUCUUAGGAUAUCUGAGGCAGUGACAUUACUCCCUCUCCUUUCAGCUCUCUUCCCCUUCCUAGACUCCAUGGAGAACUAUCCAGGCAGAUUUUAAAAUUCAAGAAGACAACUAAGACCUAAGCAGUUACCUCUUGAGCUGAGCUGAAGUCAGUGGCCAUAUGCCUACAACUAAACUAAAAUAAAUGUGGGCUAAAUGUGGCAAUUUAAGGUAAAAUAUUUGAUUUGCAUUUAAAGCAGAGUAAGUGGGGGUACAGGCAGAUCCUGUGACUAAGCUGAUGUGUAGUACCCUGCCACUGAAGGAACCAAAUCCAGUGCAUGAGUCCACAUAGCAAAUACUCUCUCUUCUCAUUCCAGGUUCAGUACAAGGAGGCAGGAACUGAAAAUUGGUAAAACUGUUUAAAAGUCCCUGCUUUGCAGACUAGGUUUUAGGAAGACUCAUCCCCAAAGUUCAUCUGGUGUUUUAUAAGACAGUUUCAUUGCAUUCCUUUGUGCUCUUGCCUUUAAUGAAGUCUGGCUCAAUCACCACAGUGAUUGCCAGUGAAAGAUCUCCCACCACCAUGCCUUAACUUCAGACAUCUCCAUAAUAAAUGUCCCCCAAAAGUAGAGGAUAGUUGGAAUAGCAUGAUAUGGUCAAAUUCUUGCUCUUAGCAGCCUUGUGGAGAAAAGGGUCAGUUGGCCUUGGUCAGCACCUGCUAUUAGUUUCUGUGACAGAUCAGACUGCUCUUUCUGUGAGAGUCCAAGCAACAAAAUCUGCACAUGGCCAAGUACUAAUCAUAGCUGUUUAUUUGCAGAUCAUCCUUCCUUGCAUCAAGUCUAUCUCAUUUCUCUGCCUCCAGCUCCACCCCAUGUAUCCUCUGGCAUUUUGGAAGCCCAGAAGCAGAAAUAUUAUGGCUUGCCAUCAGUGCACCUUUAUAAUCUGAUGUCAUAUCUUAUUUGCCAUGUGGUUUUGGUUUCAUCAGGAAGUUCUAGUGCACAUCCUGUCUGCAAAAUUUUAAUUUAGUCCCCUGUCGGACAAAUCUCAUAUGGUGACUAAUGAAGGAAGAAAGAUUGGGUUAAAGUCAAAUAAUGUCUCAAAGAUUUGGCCCCAAGUGAAUUAAUGCUAAAUAUAAAUGUGAAUAGGAAAGGUAGACUAGGGGAGAGAAAAAGUGCUGGCUUGCACACAGCUUUUCUUGAGAGAUAAAUAAAUUCAGAACAUUUUUAGAUACAGGCUGAAUAGAGUAUAAUGCUUAUUUGUCCUCAGCUUUUAUCACAACUGAGAAGAGUGAAAAAUUGCCUCAUCUGUAAGGGCUUGGAACAUAAUGAGCAAGAAUGAGCUUUUCUGUCAGUCCUAAUAGCAUUCCCUCUGAACAGAUAGCUGCAGUGGGGGAGAUGUCACUUCUUCCUGCAGUAACCAAAUAGCACUAGCAAACCACAAGUUUGCCACUGCAAACCACUGACUUGCACUGCAAUUCAGCUGCCUUGUAAAAAAUGCAGACCCCUUCCAUGGGAUGCUCUGGAGCAUCUGUUACAGGCACAUAAAUACAGCUAUAGAUGCACAUAAAGAAAAGCACACACCUAAAUGCCCACAGA
rnacentral:lncRNA from 1 species